UACGGGGGGGCGGAAGCGUUGUUCGGAAUUACUGGGCGUAAAGGGCUCGUAGGCGGCCAACUAAGUCAGACGUGAAAUCCCUCGGCUUAACCGGGGAACUGCGUCUGAUACUGGAUGGCUUGAAUCCGGGAGAGGGAUGCGGAAUUCCAGGUGUAGCGGUGAAAUGCGUAGAUAUCUGGAGGAACACCGGUGGCGAAGGCGGCAUCCUGGACCAAUACUGACGCUGAGGAGCGAAAGCCAGGGGAGCAAACGGG
rnacentral:rRNA from 1 species